CCUACGGGUGGCAGCAGUGAGGAAUAUUGGUCAAUGGGCGGGAGCCUGAACCAGCCAAGUCGCGUGAAGGAAGAAGGUACUUAGUAUUGUAAACUUCUUUUGUCGGGGAACAAAGGCGGAGACGCGUCUCCGGAUGAGUGUACCCGAAGAAAAAGCAUCGGCUAACUCCGUGCCAGCAGCCGCGGUAAUACGGAGGAUGCGAGCGUUACCCGGCUGUAUUGGGUUUAAAGGGUGCGUAGGCGGAUUUUUAAGUCAGCGGUACAAUGUCCGGGCUCAACCCGGGCCGGCCGUUGAAACUGGGGAUGUUGAGUGGGCGAGAAGUAUGCGGAAUGCGUGGGGUAGCGGUGAAAUGCAUAGAUAUCACGCAGAACUCCGAUUGCGAAGGCAGCAUACCGGCGCCCGACUGACGCUGAGGCACGAAAGCGUGGGGAUCGAACAGGAUUAGAUACCCUGGUAGUC
rnacentral:rRNA from 1 species